rnacentral:rRNA from 1 species
GCCUAGUAACGGCGAGUGAAGCGGCAACAGCUCAAAUUUGAAAUCUGGCUCUCUAGGGGGUCCGCGUUGUAAUUUGCAGAGGGUGCUUUGGCGUUGGCAGCGGUCUAAGUUCCUUGGAACAGGACGUCACAGAGGGUGAGAAUCCCGUACGUGGUCGCCAGCCUUCGCCGUGUAAAGCCCCUUCGACGAGUCGAGUUGUUUGGGAAUGCAGCUCUAAAUGGGAGGUAAAUUUCUUCUAAAGCUAAAUACUGGCCAGAGACCGAUAGCGCACAAGUAGAGUGAUCGAAAGAUGAAAAGCACUUUGGAAAGAGAGUCAAAAAGCACGUGAAAUUGUUGAAAGGGAAGCGCUUGCAGCCAGACUUGCCUGUAGUUGCUCAGCCGGGCUCCGGCCCGGUGCACUCUUCUGCGGGCAGGCCAGCAUCAGUUCGGGCGGCCGGAUAAAGACCUCUGUCACGUACCUCCCUCCGGGGAGAACUUAUAGGGGAGGUGAAAUGCGGCCAGUCCGGACUGAGGUCCGCGCAUCUGCUAGGAUGCUGGCGUAAUGGCUGUAAGCGGCCCGUCUUGAAACACGGACCAAGGAGUCUAACAUCUAUGCGAGUGUUUGGGUUCAACCCGAGCGCGUAAGAGAUGAACGGAGUGGAACCCUCGGGGGCACCUCGACCGACCUG